AUUUUCCACCUGUGGCUGCAGACGAGUUGAAGAGGCUCCCGACUACAAGAAGUCAUUUUUUGGCCUCUGGCACUGAUGAUGUGGAGAGGGGCAUCUCAAGCACAGUCAUGGGGAUUUACAUAAUCCGAAGUUAUGACAACGGGGAGCCACAGGAUGUGGGAAUUGUAAUCAAAGGCAUUAAAGUUCUGACCAACGUUGGCAGUGUCAUCAUGGGUUUUGUUGUGCUCUUUGGGCUCAUUUAUGCCCUUGAUCUGAGAUUUCCAGAAAACCUCAAGUACACCUUUGAGUUCAUCCAGAAAAUCAUAAUGAAUCUGGAUGGACACAAGCUCAAUCCAAAGAUACAGCAGCUGAAAAUCAAAUUGUUUUCUUAAAGUGAACACCAGAUGACAAAUAAAUAAAGUUUCUUUA